ACAGAUCAGCAGACUUCUCUAACAGUAGCCCAGGAUAUUUGGAGUCUUGUCUUCACUCUGGCAAGACAGAAGUCUUAUCUCUGGAGCAUGUGGAAAACUGGAACAGAAGAUGAAGUUACAUCUUACAAAUUACAAUUUGUGGACAUGUAUCUACAUGGAAGCUGGGCAUUAUCAAAGGUGAUGAUGAGCAGACUGUGGACAGUAAAUGUCUAAUGCAUUGAACAAAUGAGCCUUGCUUCUGGAAGACCAGUGCUCUGUGAGCUACAGCCAAUGAACUGCAUCUACCUCACCACCUGAUGUGGCCUAUAAAGUAGACUUGAAAACAGAUCCAAAGAAAAAUGAUAUAUCCUGUCACAUAAAAAUGUGAAACUAAUUGUAAGUGAAUAAAUACCUAUAGGAAUAACGUCAUACAUUGUAAGACUUCA